UUUGCACAUUUACUCUUUUUUUGUGUAAUGAAGCUGCCCCUGAAACAUCAAACCCAGAUGUAUAAAUCAGUGUAUGACCUGCAGUAGAUGAAAGUCAGCAUGGAUACCCUUCGGAGAUGGACUGGACCAGCGUUGUGGACAAAUCCAUAUCAUGUAAAGAAUACACUUCCACAACCACAACCAAC